rnacentral:rRNA from 1 species
CACGGGUGAGUAACGCGUAUCCAACCUGCCCACCACUUGGGGAUAACCUUGCGAAAGUAAGACUAAUACCCAAUGAUAUCUCUAGAAGACAUCUGAAAGAGAUUAAAGAUUUAUCGGUGAUGGAUGGGGAUGCGUCUGAUUAGCUUGUUGGCGGGGUAACGGCCCACCAAGGCUACGAUCAGUAGGGGUUCUGAGAGGAAGGUCCCCCACAUUGGAACUGAGACACGGUCCAAACUCCUACGGGAGGCAGCAGUGAGGAAUAUUGGUCAAUGGACGAGAGUCUGAACCAGCCAAGUAGCGUGCAGGAUGACGGCCCUAUGGGUUGUAAACUGCUUUUAUAAGGGAAUAAAGUGAGUCUCGUGAGACUUUUUGCAUGUACCUUAUGAAUAAGGACCGGCUAAUUCCGUGCCAGCAGCCGCGGUAAUACGGAAGGUCCGGGCGUUAUCCGGAUUUAUUGGGUUUAAAGGGAGCGUAGGCCGGAGAUUAAGCGUGUUGUGAAAUGUAGAUGCUCAACAUCUGCACUGCAGCGCGAACUGGUUUCCUUGAGUACGCACAAAGUGGGCGGAAUUCGUGGUGUAGCGGUGAAAUGCUUAGAUAUCACGAAGAACUCCGAUUGCGAAGGCAGCUCACUGGAGCGCAACUGACGCUGAAGCUAGAAAGUGCGGGU